rnacentral:rRNA from 1 species
CUACGGGGCGCAGCAGUGAGGAAUUUUGCGCAAUGGGGGAAACCCUGACGCAGCAACGCCGCGUGAGUGAAGAAGGCUUUCGGGUCGUAAAGCUCUGUCAGAUAGGAAAAAAGUUCAUAUGUAAAUAGCUUAUGAAUCUGAUGGUACUAUCAGAGGAAGCACCGGCUAACUCCGUGCCAGCAGCCGCGGUAAUACGGAGGGUGCAAGCGGUGUUCGGAAUUACUGGGCGUAAAGGGCGUGUAGGCGGUAUGGUAAGUCAGAUGUGAAAGCCCUGGGCUUAACUCAGGAAGUGCAUUUGAUACUGCCAUCCUUGAGUAUGGGAGAGGAGAGUAGAAUUCCCAGUGUAGAGGUGAAAUUCGUAGAUAUUGGGAGGAAUACCCGUGGCGAAGGCGACUCUCUGGACCAAUACUGACGCUGAGACGCGAAAGCGUGGGGAGCAAACAGGAUUAGAUACCCGAGUAGUC